rnacentral:rRNA from 1 species
GAAUUUUGGACAAUGGGCGAAAGCCUGACGCAGCGACGCCGCGUGGAGGAUGAAGGCCUUCGGGUCGUAAACUCCUGUCGAGGGGGACGAAAUGGUGCUCCGAUAAUACCGGAGUGUCUUGACGGUACCCCUGGAGGAAGCCCCGGCUAACUCCGUGCCAGCAGCCGCGGUAAUACGGAGGGGGCCAGCGUUGCUCGGAAUCACUGGGCGUAAAGGGCUCGUAGGCGGUUUGAUAAGUCCUGUGUGAAAUCCCUUGGCUCAACCAAGGAAUGGCGCAGGAUACUGUCAUACUUGAGGCCGGGAGAGGGAAGCGGAAUUCCCAGUGUAGCGGUGAAAUGCGUAGAUAUUGGGAGGAACACCGGUGGCGAAGGCGGCUUCCUGGACCGGUUCUGACGCUGAGGAGCGAAAGCCAGGGGAGCAAACAGG